rnacentral:rRNA from 1 species
AGCGUAACAAGGUUUCCGUAGGUGAACCUGCGGAAGGAUCAUUAAAGAAAUAUUGAGGAGUCUGUGGGCUGUUCUGGGGAGGUGUCUCUGGCCUGCGCUUAAGUGCGCGGCGAGGGCAGCUUUCUGCUAAGGAGCGGUUUGCAAUUAUGGCUUUUUCAACUUACACACAGUGGAGUAUUCUUACUUUAUUGUUCUUUUUUCUUUGGGAGGCGACGCAAGUCCCUCCCGGGAGAAGCAAACACAAACAAUUAUUUUUAUUAUAAAACAUGUCAAAACCAAUUCUCUGUUGAGAAAUAAUUUUAAAACUUUCAACAAUGGAUCUCUUGGUUCUCGCAUCGAUGAAGAACGCAGCGAAAUGCGAUACGUAAUGUGAAUUGCAGAAUUCCGUGAAUCAUCGAAUCUUUGAACGCACAUUGCGCCCUCUGGUAUUCCAGGGGGCAUGCCUGUUUGAGCGUCAUUUCCUUCUCAAACACUCUGUUUGGUAGUGAGUGAUACUCUCUUUGAGUUAGCUUGAAAUUGUGCUGUGUCUGCCGGCAAACAAAGACCUUUAAGUUUGACCUCAAAUCAGGUAGGAUUACCCGCUGAACUUAAGCAUAUCAAUA